rnacentral:rRNA from 1 species
UACAGAGGUCCCAAGCGUUGUUCGGAUUCACUGGGCGUAAAGGGUGCGUAGGCGGUCGGGUAAGUCUGAUGUGAAAUCUCACAGCUUAACUGUGAAACUGCAUUGGAUACUAUCCGGCUCGAGGAAUGGAGGGGAGACUGGAAUACUUGGUGUAGCAGUGAAAUGCGUAGAUAUCAAGUGGAACACCAGUGGCGAAGGCGAGUCUCUGGACAUUUCCUGACGCUGAAGCACGAAAGCGUGGGGAGCAAACAGG